AGCUGAGGCCACGACACAAAGACACAGAGCUCAGCCAGAUUACACAAAAACUCAUAUAGUAGAGUUCUCUCAGAUUUCGUUCUCUCUCUAGCUACAUACCUCCUCCUCCAUCAGUGUCUUCUCUUCUCUCAGCUGCUUUUCCUGUUCAUUAAUAUAUUGCAGAUGUUGUUAAAAAGGAUUAUUUCAACACUGCACAAUGAAUGAAUUGCAACCUUCUGUUUGUAUAAAGCUGCUUCUGUUUUGUGAUGAUCCAUGCUAUAUAUUUGUAUUAUUGAGCCGUUAGAAACUGUCAUUUCAAAUUCAUGUAACGCACGCAUACACAAUAGUAUUAUUAGCACUUUACACAGCAAAUCAUGGCCACAAUACUAGACCUUCCUCACGAACUAUGAUUUCAGUGUAAGCUACAUAGCGCUUGUUGGGAUGUAUUUAAGUAGAGUCUACAAGUGGGUCUUGAUAUACCAUGCAAAUUAUCGCUUUACUUUAAAGCUCAAACCGAUUCCAAAUUCACAUGCUGUAUUAACCACUUAUAUUUGGCAGUACUCAGGUUACAAGGUGUUUAUAUACCUCGAUCAUGUGGUACACAAGGGUCAUAGGUUGAAGACAUCGGUUUGAUGAUACCAUCUUUAGCAUGGAAAUUGCUAUAGGUUCAUAGGAUUUCUUUUCAAUAUUGGCGCUGGGUAUCUGAAACAAAGUCUUGACUAAUCACAGGGGUGUUUGGACCCUCGGUAAGAGUUUCUCGCUCGUGCACAUUAGGUAAUUCAAAGGAAAAUUCUCCCAGUAUGAUAGCUCCUAGAAUUUGUUUGCACCCAAGGGUUCAAACAUUAGACUAGAGGGAGCGUACCACCAAGACAAAGGCUCUUACCACUUGAGCCAACCCCUAGGGGUUCAAAGAUUAAGAGAUAAUGUCACAGGAGGUAUAUGAGAUAUGGGUGGUAUAUAAUUAUCCGGUCAUGUGGGUAAGUGUCGAUGAACAUUUUUUCUACUUUUGAUGGCUGCCACAACUCUCCGCCAUAAUCAGCAUCCGAAUUACUUUCACCACUAAAUCCCCUCCCCCAUCGAUGCCCCAUGUCCCUAUCAACAUAACAUGCAUGUGUAAGAUUGAGAGGGUCUUCUCUAUCUUUUAUCUACUUCUGUUCUUGAUGAUCCUAGACUAUGGUAGUGGUGGAUAAAGCUGCUUGAUUUUCUAAUAUCACAAUGGCUUUAGCAUCAUUGUGGGAUAAAUGAAUCUAUUAAUUGUAAACAUCAUAUAUGCAUCUAUCAAUUAAUAAACUACUACAGUUGGAUCAGAUUUUGCAAAUAAUGCUCAAUAUGGAAGUUCAUUCACCACCCUCUAACAGAUAUAACGUGUUACAACUUCCCUCACUCAAAUUCCUAAAAUCUCAUCAUGCCAUUUCAUUGUGGCACAACUCAAAUUCUACACUUUUAGCUGAGAUUGACGCUAUCAACAUUUGUAAAUGAUCUAAUAAAAGCACAAGCCACAUUUGCAUUUGCUUCAAAAAUACUAGUUAAGAUUACAGUUACAGCCCCCUAGAGUCAUUAUAAAAGUAAAACGUUUCAGACAAUGUAGGAUCACAUUCACCAAGAGUUAUUCCUUCAAUAUCUACUUGAACACAAGUUAUUGAUUUUCUAAUGAAGUAUGCUGAAGGAGUUUAAAAACCUUUUCUUAAAUGCUCCAUGAAAGUUAUGUCAAGUUUUGUUCUUACUUUUGUCACUGGAUUUACUUAUAAAUGCAUCAUGUUUCAGAUCCGCAAAGAGUUAGAAGGCCAUACCUCUUCAUAGUGCGCUUUUAUAGCUUCAAUCAUUAGCUGUGUCUGUUUACCAUUCAAACUCAUGAGUAUUCCACACUCAUUUAUCAUGCACACAGCUAAUUAGAAAUGAAUAUAAAGACAUUAAAAUUGAUAAUGAACCAAAUGCAUCUCAUGUUCUUCAAUAGAAGAUAAUUUCAGCCCCAUAUAGGUGUUAAGAGACGCUCUAAACUCUAAUUUCCCUGCAUUUAAACUUAUGGGAUUUUCAGAGGUUCUUGUAUAGUGUACAUGGAUCCAUUCAUUCUGACAACGACAAGAGUCUAGUUUCUUGGCUUCAACCUGAGAUAGGUGUCUUGGCUUAAAGUUUUCUUUAUUUUUUAAACUAACUGAAUUCAAGUUUGUUGGUAAUGAUUAAUUACUCCAAGUCUAUAUAAUCCUAAAUUCAAGUCUGCAGAAUCUUUCCCGGUCAGCUCUAAGUUAUAAUGAUUAUGUUAUCGAAAAGAAUGGAAAAAAAGAUGCAAAUACUUGAUAGAGUUAACAGCUGAUGAACAAAAGGAAAAAAAAAAAAAAAAAAAACUAGAACUAAACAGCCUUUUCGUUUCCAUAAACCAUGGAGCAUCCCUUUGGUUAGUGGUGUCUAAUUAUUAGAUGGUAUUGAGAACAUUUUUUUUUUAUAAGUAGAUGGUAUUGAGAACAUAUAAUCAAGUGUGUGAAACUUCCAGGGUGGAAUGAUAUUUUGAUAAGAUAUUUGAGCUAUGGUCGGUAUGUAAUAAAGCUAUUGCACUCAACUGCAAGAGGAAAUCCAAUGCAGUCAUGGAUUUGGGAAGAUGCCACCAUAUAUGAAGCACGACUGGGAAAGGGUAAUGUCUGCCUUAAGCUACUUAGAACCUUCUGAUACUAGAUCAAUAUGGCCUGUUUUCUCUCUCAUUAAGAUAUAUCCCCUACCUCUCCAAACUAAACAGUGGGCUGAUCAUAGUUUUCUUCCGAGUGAGUGACUGGGAAGAGACAUGAUUCUGCACGGUUGAUAAGCUGUGAGAAAACGAGUUAAUGUAAAGAGGCCAUUCUCACCGACCAAAAAAUACAUAUAGGCUAAGAACUAAUACUUUUUAGGUGCUUUUGUUGUGUAAUAUUUUUAUACUUGGGUUUUGCCCUUUAGGCAUUGAGUUAUUAAUUCUAUUCCACAUACCGGUGCAUAUCAUCUCAAAAGAAAUGUGAAGAAUUUUUCUAUUUUUCAGUUAUGUGGAUUUAUGAUGGUUUGAGUGUUUUAAUUCGUUGCUGUUUCUUUUUUUCUCUUCGGAAUAUUUUACUGCCAUCUCAUCUCAUUUUCUGAUAGUUUUCAAUAUUCUCCUAUUAGAAACUGUUGAUGCACUUCUAAACCAGCAUUCCACGACCAUCUAUGAUAUAUGCUCGAAUACAUCUUAGAGCAUCGGAUCAAUUUCUUUAAUAUCUAGUCCAAUAUGAGAGCACCACCGUAUGACAAAUCUAAUUUCUAUCUUCUUUGCAUUCAUGGAUUUUGACUACUGAUUUGAUGAUAUCUCAGGGCUACAGCUAGUCACUGACCACAGGUUUAACUAUUCUACUGUGAUAUUUCAACUUGAAGAGAAAAAAAAAGGUAUCUUGUAAGAAUUGACCUUUCUGAAUCUGGUUUGUCUCAACAUCACAUCCAGUUCUAUCUCUAAGUGAUUGAGUUCUAUCAAGGUUUUCUCUUGAAUAUUCUGUUCUUCAAGGUACCUGCCCGAAACAUGAAAAUGAAUGCAAUUAUAUGGUUAAUUGAAGCACUUCUACUUGGGCCUCAAAGAUUUUAUGUUAAUGAGCAACUAGGGUUUGUGCAUGCUAACAUAGGAUCGUUAGUUUGGGAGAAUAUUUUUUUUGAUAGUUUGGGAGAAUAUAAUGUCAAAAAGGGAACCGGUUCCUAAGAUGUUGACUUUGAAUCAUGUAAAAGAAGCCCCUGUUGUUUUCCCUGUAACAUGUUAUUUAUUCCCACCGUGCCAAUUGCAGCACAUGUAUAUGGACCUGAAAGAUGUUACCUUUGUAUCAUUUCCAGUGGCCUAGCGCCCAUCUGAAGACCAGGGCAGUCAGCAUGAUGCGUCUGAAUGAUAAGGAAAAAGUGGGUAAGAGAGGAAUAUCAUAAAGAAUAGCAUCAAAAUAUUAAAUGAACAUGUUUAGAAGUUAAGAACCAUAGAUUUUGAGAUAAGAAAAUCUUUUAACAGGGACAAAUAUUUUGAAAAAAAUAUCAUAUAAGACUGUAACGGGAUUAAAGCAAUCAAUUUUCAUUGCUUGGGAAAGAGAAACUCUCAUCUUAAUCAUUGUCAUCUUCCUAUAAGCAUUGACAAUGCUAUGUUCCUUGUCCACAGCUUAGUACCAUAUCCUGUUUCGUCCUCCAUGAGUCAUUACACAACCAGUCUUUCUGAAAAAUAAAUUGUCUGAUGUAGUAUUGACAUAGAAAUAUAGAAUCUUGGUAGUGUGGAAAAUUAAAUGUGAUCAACACAGUAUCAAUUAAAUGUUAUAGCUGAAUUAUGGAGAAUCAUCGACAAAAGGUCAUCAAAAUCUCCUUUUAGUACAUGUAAAUGAAAUUAUGAUCAAUUGAGUUGCUAAUUCUGGAUCUUCCAUGUAUUUAAAUAUGUAAUAGCAACUGUUUGUGUAAGGUCCAAGGUGAAGCUUCAAUUUUCUUUUCUAGAAUUGGAGACCUCUAAAAAACAUUGAACGGAUUAUGGCUAACCUUUUCUAGCUCAGAACUCCUGCGGACAGCGAUUUCUUCUUCUACCUGUCUCCUAUACCUCUCGAGGAUUUUUCCAAGACUGCAUCAUGAGCGAUGCAGAAUGUAAGAAAAGAAUUGAUAAUGUCAUAGUUUCUCAUAUCAAUAAAACUUGAAUGCAAUAGAAAAAUAACAACAAUUACAAUAAUGUAAAUAGCAGUCAUGUAAUGUGCUAUUUGAAAAAUGAGAUUUCAGUGGCCUUUGUACCAUAGGAUGUCCUUGUGCUGGUAACUUGUAUAAAACUACUGCAUCAGCAGUCAAGUCUUCCACUGUACGAGGCCUUUUAUGGUUAGCCAGAUUAUUUUAUGUAUGUACUAACUGGACAUGAAGCGGUACUUAAAGUGGUAAGUACAAAUCUAGAGGCCAUA